rfam:Nicotiana sylvestris Nsyl_contig190479, whole genome shotgun sequence.
UGGACAGAUUAUUGUAUUCGACUGUAUUCACGACGUAGAAUAGGGGAUUACAUUGUUUUUAAAACGGGAAGUGAAUCAAUUAACAUAAUAGACUCCU